rfam:Streptomyces cellostaticus strain DSM 40189 genomic scaffold PRJNA299219_s087, whole genome shotgun sequence.
CUUCACCGACCCGAGCCACAACGGCCGUUCCUCCGGCCGGUCCUGGCCGUAGGUGGCGAUGAGCGCCUGCGCCUC